rnacentral:rRNA from 1 species
GACGAACGCUGGCGGCGUGCUUAACACAUGCAAGUCGAACGGUCCGGUGCUUAUUACAAAGUGUGUUUACAUACUUUGUGCGAGUGCCGGAUAGUGGCGGACGGGUGAGUAACGCGUGGGCAACCUGCCUUUCACAGGGGGAUAACAUCGGGAAACCGGUGCUAAUACCGCAUAACGUAUAUAAAUGGCAUCAAAUAUAUACCAAAGGAGAAAUCCGGUACAGGAUGGGCCCGCGUCCGAUUAGCUAGUUGGUGAGGUAAUGGCUCACCAAGGCGACGAUCGGUAGCCGGAUUGAGAGGUUGAACGGCCACAUUGGGACUGAGACACGGCCCAGACUCCUACGGGAGGCAGCAGUGGGGAAUAUUGCACAAUGGGGGAAACCCUGAUGCAGCGACGCCGCGUGAAGGAAGAAGGUCUUCGGAUUGUAAACUUCUUUGAUUGGGGACGAAAUAUGACGGUACCCAAGGAACAAGCCACGGCUAACUACGUG